GAUGAAGAACGUAGCGAAAUGCGAUAAGUAAUGUGAAUUGCAGAAUUCAGUGAAUCAUCGAAUCUUUGAACGCACAUUGCGCCCUCUGGUAUUCCGGGGGGCAUGCCUGUUCGAGCGUCAUUAUAACCACUCAAGCUCUCGCUUGGUAUUGGAGUUCGCGAUCUCGCGGCUCCUAAAAUCAGUGGCGGUGCCUGUCGGCUCUACGCGUAGUAAUACUCCUCGCGAUUGAGUCCGGUAGGUUUACUUGCCAGCAACCCCCAAUUUUUACAGGUUGACCUCGGAUCAGGUAGGGAUACCCGCUGAACUUAAGAAUAUCAAUAAGCGGAGGA
rnacentral:misc_RNA from 1 species